GAAGGCUCUGUGGCAGGGAGUGGGAGGGUGAUUAACAGGGGAAGAAUUAGGAAAGAGGACACGCAAGACCACAGUAAGAGAUGGAAAUAAGAGAAUAUUCCUGAUUUCCACUGGAUGACUUUGACUGGUAUGAUUUCAUUCUCUGAAAGUGUUAACCAGGGUGCAGCAUGGCCAGAAACCAUUCCGAGCCUCAUGAAGUGGGCAAGUCAGGUUUGGUCAUUUUUGGUAAUGUCAUUGCAUGUACACAGUUUAAGACAGAGCAUCUGGUGAUUCUCGGACCUUCAAGCAAGUGUCACAUCUCAGGUGAACCUUGGCAGUUUUAAGAUGAACAAAGUAAUCAAAGCAAAAAUGUCAAAUAAUAAUAAUAAUAAUGAUAUCAGAAGAAUGUCCAGUGCCAUGGUUGGAUUCCCAGAAGGCAGCAUCUGCUCAUGCCAUCAACAACAUGGUGCCAUUUCAGUCAUCCUCUUUUUGUCCCAAAGACAGAAAAAAAAUAGAAAAAAGAAAGAGAAAAAGACACCACGAACCGUCUAUCCUCCUGGUAAUACAAAUACACCUGUAAAUAAACAUGUCAAUGUCUACACACAACGCACAUUUAUGCAGAAUCCAUCCUCUCGGUGCUUCCGUAGUUAUCAAGUAAAAGUCCUUCUAAGCCUAAGAAAUGAUAGUAUUAAUUCAGUCUUGGGGUGUGGGGGGAAAGGUGGACUAUCAUCAAAUAAAAAAGGCGAGGCUAAUUAAGUGACAUCCACUGGGGACUGGGAAAAGAAGAGACUUCUUGUGGGAAAGUAAUUAUAUCUUCAUUGACCCUCCUGGGGUACCCCCAGUGGCAGGGACUCUGCCUCGCGGUGUGACAUCUCCUUUCGGGAUGAGCAGCCAGUCACCUCGAGAAGCCCCCUUCUCCAUGGAUGCGUUUUCUAAUCAUUUCACAUGAUUGAGCCUCCAGCAAGUGAUGCUUUACUUAAUUCCUUUCCGCCUGUAGGGUGUGAGGUUUGGAGGGCCUCUCGUCAAAACUUUGGAGGGCUCUGUCAGUUUGAAAAGAACAUGACCUUUAAAUUGUAUCAGUAUGUUUGCUGGUGCAUAAGGGAGAGGAAAAGGUUCGUCCUGAUGGAAAACCACUCAGAAGCCAAGGAGUAAUUCAGAGGGAACCAGCCCAGGAAGAAUCAAGAAAGCUGCCCACAGUGUCAUUCUUCAGCUGAGAAAAGAGAGAGUUGACUAACUCCUCGGACUGGAGUGAGGACUCACAGAGGUGGUAGGACACUAACCAUCUAUGUCUCCAUUUCCUGGGUUGUAACACUGAGGUAGAACAUCUCACUGUCCCAUGGAGGAUUAUGUUAUUUUUGGAGAUUAAUAAUUUUGGAGGAAGAAAGGUGGCUUCCUGAAAAGGAAGUCACAUGAAGAAGCAACUUACACGGUGGUCUCUUUAAAUAAACAUAUUGUGACUAGACAA
ensembl:lncRNA LINC01837 long intergenic non-protein coding RNA 1837